rnacentral:rRNA from 1 species
CGCUGGCGGCGUGCUUCAUACAUGCAAGUCGAACGAGAAAUUACCUUCGGGUAAUGGAAAGUGGCGGACGGGUGAGUAAUAUGUAGAGAAUCUGCCUUCAAGCGGGGAUAGCAGUUGGAAACGACUAUUAAUACCCAUAUGAGCGUAACUGAAAUGUUAUUCUUGAAAACUCCGGUGCUUGGAGAUGAGUCUGCAUCUGAUUAGCUAGUUGGGGGUGUAAUGGACCACCAAGGCGACGAUCAGUAGCUGGUUUGAGAGGAUGAUCAGCCACAAUGGGACUGAGACACGGCCCAUACUCCUACGGGAGGCAGCAGUAGGGAAUUUUGCGCAAUGGGCGAAAGCCUGACGCAGCCAACGCCGCGUGAUCGAGACGCUUUUCGGAGUGUAAAGAUCUGUCACAGGGGACGAACGAUGACGGUGCCCUGAGAGGAAGCACCGGCUAACUCCGUGCCAGCAGCCGC